AUAAGGAUACAAACAUCUCUGUAUUGCACCGAUAUAAUGACAUCCAACAAUAAUUCUUCUAUCAUGGAAGAAAAUGAUGUAGGGAUACAACAAAGGAUUCUGGACUAUGGACACUUGGAACUGAAAUCAUUUGAGUACACUGAUUAUAGGGCAUUAGAUUUAGAAGAUGAAUUAGAUCCUGAUAACAACCUGUUUUUAUUAUCCAACCCAAUAGAUUGCAAAUAUUUAUCUGAAGAUGAUUAUAACUAUUUCGUUGACUCCAAAGGGAAACUCUCAAUUAUUCAUUUCAAUAGUAGGAGCAUGUAUAGUAACUUCAUCCACAUCAAAGAAUAUUUACAACAAUUUACCCAGCCAUUUCACAUUAUUGCGAUUUCAGAAACAUGGUUUAAUGAGGAUAAAGGCAUAGAUUUCGAGUUAGAAGGUUAUAACUUGAACUAUGUAAACAGAGGAAAUAAA